rnacentral:rRNA from 1 species
UGCAAGUCGAACGGUAGCAGGAAGAAAGCUUGCUUUCUUUGCUGACGAGUGGCGGACGGGUGAGUAAUGCUUGGGAAUCUGGCUUAUGGAGGGGGAUAACUGUGGGAAACUGCAGCUAAUACCGCGUAUUCUCUGAGGAGGAAAGGGUGGGACCUUAGGGCCACCUGCCAUAAGAUGAGCCCAAGUGGGAUUAGGUAGUUGGUGGGGUAAAGGCCUACCAAGCCUGCGAUCUCUAGCUGGUCUGAGAGGAUGACCAGCCACACUGGAACUGAGACACGGUCCAGACUCCUACGGGAGGCAGCAGUGGGGAAUAUUGCGCAAUGGGGGGAACCCUGACGCAGCCAUGCCGCGUGAAUGAAGAAGGCCUUCGGGUUGUAAAGUUCUUUCGGUAAUGAGGAAGGGAUGUUGUUAAAUAGAUAGCAUCAUUGACGUUAAUUACAGAAGAAGCACCGGCUAACUCCGUGCCAGCAGCCGCGGUAAUACGGAGGGUGCGAGCGUUAAUCGGAAUAACUGGGCGUAAAGGGCACGCAGGCGGACUUUUAAGUGAGAUGUGAAAUCCCCGAGCUUAACUUGGGAAUUG